rnacentral:rRNA from 1 species
CAAUAGCGUAUAUUAAAGUUGUUGCAGUUAAAAAGCUCGUAGUUGGAUUUGUGGCGUACGGUGUGUUCCGGGCACUUGUUGUCUGAGUAACCUGCUGUUGCCAUCCUUGGGUGGAACCUGUGUGGCAUUAGGUUGUCGUGCAGGGGAUGCCCAUCAUUUACUGUGAAAAAAUUAGAGUGUUCAAAGCAGGCUUAUGCCGUUGAAUAUAUUAGCAUGGAAUAAUGAGAUAGGACUUUUUUGCUAUUUUGUUGGUUUGCGCAAAGAGGUAAUGAUUAAUGGGGACAGUUGGGGGUAUUCGUAUUCCAUUGUCAGAGAUGAAAUUCUUGGAUUUUUGGAAGACGAACUACUGCGAAAGCAUUUACCAAGGAUGUUUUCAUUAA